GAUUCAGGAAUCAGAUCUUGUUGUGUUGUGGAAUGACUUGCUUACCGGUUUCUCGUCUCAGCUGGGCAUCUGCUGAGAAUUGGUACUUGGAUGGUGUCUUAAGAGACAAACCAAGCCCAGGUUCACUUUCCACCCAAUAGGUGUGCUUCACAUCAUCUCGGUCAAUGAUUCUUGUCACAUCUUUGUAGUGAUCUGAAGCCCUGUAGCACUCCACAAGUUCAUCUAGGGUGCAGGGUGUAGCUCCUGGUGCCAUGUACUGGGAACCAUUUCCUGCUGCAAUGUCUUCCAGAAAUUCAUUGGACUCAAUGUGUGAGGGCUUAGUGUACCUAUCAGAUGGUUGGUAAUGGUUUUUAACAUUAAGCUGAAGUUAUUGCUAUCAUAUAAAGCAUAUGUGCAUAUAAAAAGCUUUUGGCUUCAAAUAAUGUUAUAGUUUCCAUACUAACCCAAGCUUGGCAAAGUAAGGGACAGCAUCUUGACGAGGGCCUUGGAAUAAAACAUGGCCAUCACUGAGUAAUAUGAUCCUAUCAAAAAGAUCGAAAAUAUCCUGGGAAAGUUGGGUCAAUGACAUGAUUGCAGAAGAUUGUUGAAUCCUGCUAAUGGUUCGGAUGGUGUCCACCAGGCUAUAUGUAGCUGGUAAAUCAGACCCAGAGAAAGGUUGAUCAUAAAGCAUGACAGAAUAUGUUCCAAGAGCUAAUUCCGCUGUUGUCAGCCUCUGGCGGUCAGUGUCAGAGAUUGCAUCUCCAGUGAGUUUGUGCUGUAUCUCCUUCAAGUUUAAAAUUUCCAAAAUAUAUUCUAGAAAUGGAUCUUGCCCCUCCACAAGAGCAUGAGCAAAGAAUUUCCUCAUCUGAGGAGUAAAAUUCUCCGGUCGAAGCCCUUGAGUACAGUCCCUUGCAAAUUCAAGAGUCUCUCGAACUGAAAGAAGUGGAAUGUGCCUGCAAUUGUACAAGUAAUUGAACUAAACUUCUCAUAUAUGAAUAUCUAAUAAUCCUUGUGAGUUGUACUACAUAAUAAUCUUUUAGUUGAUUGCAUUUUCACCUGUU
rnacentral:misc_RNA from 1 species